rnacentral:rRNA from 1 species
AGCAGCCGCGGUAAUUCCAGCUCCAAUAGCGUAUAUUAAAGUUGUUGCAGUUAAAAAGCUCGUAGUUGAAUUUUCGAGACCGGUUUACUGGUCGUGCUUUUGUACGUACUGGUAUUAUUGGUUUCUCCUUUCUGACGAACUAUAAUGCCAUUAAUUUGGUGUUUUAGGGAAUCAGGACUGUUACUUUGAAAAAAUUAGAGUGUUUAAAGCAGGCUCACGCUUGAAUACAUUAGCAUGGAAUAACGGAAUAGGACGUUUGAUUCUAUUUUGUUGGUUUCUAGGAUCGACGUAAUGAUUAAUAGGGAUAGUUGGGGGCAUUAGUAUUCAAUUGUCAGAGGUGAAAUUCUUGGAUUUAUUGAAGACUAACUACUGCGAAAGCAUUUGCCAAGGAUGUUUUCAUUAAUCAAGAACGAAAGUUAGGGGAUCGAAGACGAUCAGAUACCGUCGUAGUCUUAACCAUAAACUAUGCCGACUAGGGAU